GGGGUUGUGACUCAGUGGUAGAGUGCUUGCCUGGCACGUGUGAGGCAUUGGGUUUGAUUCUCAGCCCCA
rnacentral:tRNA from 1 species